GUAAAGAUUCUGAUUCAGCAUUGUCUUUUUUUUUUUUAAACCAGCCUCUAGGAUUUUUCUAUUACUUUUCUUGAUCAUGUAAGUUUCAUGCUUCAGCUGUUCAUGCUUCUAUAACUGCAUCUGCAUUUCUGUCUCUAGUCCCAGGCUGAUUUCAAACAAUAUCAUCAGUGUUAGAGCAUUAGAAGGAAAAAAAAAAGAAAACUGCAAGUAGAUUGAGUGGCAAGAAAAGAAUGAGACAACAUCUGGGCCAUCAAAAGCCCCUACUGCUCAAACCUCCUGGUUCGCAAAUGAACUUAUAGUCCAGGAUCACUGUCUUACUCAAUGCCUGACAUGCGCUUGGAGAAUUUAGAUCACUGUUAAAUAGACUGAAGAGCAUCAAAAGAAAUUGCGGAAAGACCAGAUAGGAGGCUUUUGUGGGAAUCUAGUUUUUUACAGAAACCAGGUUAGGAAGAGACCUGAACAGUAUAUGAUACUGCAGCUAACAUCCAUGGUAAUUCAGUGGGCUGUGCGUGGCUGGGGAAGACUUCGUGAAGAUUCAGUGGGGUUGGAUCUUGAAGAAUGACUAGGACCUAGAAAACAGAAAGAAGGUUUGGAGUCUUUUCAGCCCCACUUGCAAUCUCUUUAGCUUUUAGAGUAAUGUAGUGGGGAGAAAUAGCAAUGAUUUUCUGAUUGUAGAUGACUUCAUGAACAUCACAAAGGAAAAGAAAUUGAGUUGAAUGCCAGACUUUUGUAAUUUCCUAGGUUUGUGGAUAGAGGCAAAUUAUGUUCCUGACUGGUCGAACAGCAAAACCUUCUCUCAAGAAGUGUCAUUUGCCCAAACCCACUAGCCAAACUCAUCCAAGUCCUUGGAGAAAUGGCUCCGUCAGCCAGAGGAUGCUGGUGCCUUCAAGUCCUACCCACUGAGAGCAGGAGGGGUAGGAGGCCGCCUCCUAGAACCACUCAACAUCUUCAGUGCUUCUCACUUCUUCAGGGUCUUUAGGGCGGACACUGAGAAUCAGUUGCCAAACAUGAAGCACGGCCUUCUGAAGACAUGUUUGAAGGUGGCUCCUCCGCCUGCUGUGGGACUGUAGGCAAAUCGCUAAGUGAUCUUACUCCUCUUUGGUCAGACGCUGGAAUGGGUGCAGGUUCUUGAAGACCACUGCCAACUCUGGGACAGAGCUUUUAUUAGAAAAUUUGUGUUCACCAACAAGUUCCUGGAGUUCUAUAAAACCUUGUGGAUUUGCAUACAAACAAAGGUAACUGUAUCAAAGGCUUUUCAUUUCAUAUCGUGAAGUGUGUUGUUAUGCACAGUUCAUUCUAUUAAAAAACGAAACAUGUAGAACUAAAUUAAAAUGCAGAGUGUGGAUCCCUCAGGGGGGACUUCUGAAAUACUUGGCAUGAAAUGUUGCAUAGAUUUCUUGUUAACCAGAAAAUGAUUUUAGCGAGCAACCCUUCCUGAGGCCUCGGGAAGGAGCUGCGGCGUCGUGAGCCUCUGAAGCUGCAAGGUGGGUGCUCGAUAUUACACACAUUUAUCUCGGUUGCCAGAAACUCUACAUUGCCAUCUGUCUCAAGCUUCGCCAGAAGCUACCUGUAGCUUAAAGGCAAGAAAGGUCUUGACAACAAGGGGGCU